rnacentral:misc_RNA from 1 species
GAUGAAGAACGUAGCGAAAUGCGAUAAGUAAUGUGAAUUGCAGAAUUCAGUGAAUCAUCGAAUCUUUGAACGCACAUUGCGCCCCUUGGUAUUCCGAGGGGCAUGCCUGUUCGAGCGUCAUUACAACCCUCAAGCUCUGCUUGGUGUUGGGCCCCGCCGCCCCGGCGGGCCCUAAAGUCAGUGGCGGUGCCAUCCGGCUCCGAGCGUAGUAAUUCUUCUCGCUCUGGAGGUCCGGUUGUGUGCUUGCCAUCAACCCCCAAUUUUUUUCAGGUUGACCUCGGAUCAGGUAGGGAUACCCGCUGAACUUAAGCAUAUCAAUAAGCGGAGGA